CAGACCCCACAUCCACCGGCAUCUCCAUCUCUAUCCAACCCUCUUGCCAGUGGUAUCAUCACCCCUGGCAACAGCCGUCCAAGCCGACUGUCAGAAUCAGGUUUAUUAUCACUGAAAUACAGUCAACGGAGACUUUAUUAGGUACAGCUGUACACCUGCUCGUUAAUGUAGCCAUUAAGUAGAUAGGCUACAGCAGCAGACACGAGAAGAUCUGAAAAUGCUGGAAAUUCGAGCAACACACAUAAAAUGCUGGAGGAGCUCAGCAGGAUAAGAAUUAUAAGCAGUAUUUCAGAAGCAUUGCUUGAAAGAUUUGCGAGGAUUCCUGGAUACCUUUCCCCCGGAGGUUUUAAGGAAAGAUCUGAACGGAAAACCAGUUGACAUCUGGGCAAUUGAUAGCCACAAAGAAUGAAAGAAAACUAUGGCAGUUGUUCAAAGAAAAACAUCGAUAUGUCCUCCCCCCGCAGAACAAAAAACAAACUUCGCAAAUGGCAAUAUGAUCAUUAACCCCCCCAUGUGAAUGAAAGCACGCAAACGGCAACACAAUCAUCAACAUCCCCCAUGAGAAAAAAUAAUCGCAAAAACGGCAACGAGAGCAUCAACCACCCCACGCAGAAAAACAAAUUGUGCAAAUGGCAAGAACAUCAAGAUUCAAAGUACAUUUAUUAUCAAAAUAUGUAUGCAGUAAACAACCCUGAAAUUCAUCUUCCCCACAGACAGUCAAAAAACAAAGAAGAACCAUGGAACCAACCCGUUCAAAAAACCCAAAAUUAUUUGUCUGAUCUUUACACAAGAUUUAUUCUUCCAGAAUAAAUGAACUGUGGUGAUGUACAAAAAAGAAAUCAGUCAAUACAUAAACAUGAGAGAUUCUACAGAUGCUGGAAAUCCAGAGAAACACACAUAAGAUGCUGGAAGAGCUCGGCAGGUCAGACAGCAUCCGUUGAGAGGAAUAAAGAGUAGGUGUUUCAGGCCGACACCCUUCUGCAGGACUGGAACGGAGAGGGGUGGAAACCAGAAUAAGAAGGUGGGGGGAGUGAAGGAGUACAAGCUGGCGGGUGACGGGUGAAGCCAGGUGACGGGGAGGGUGGGUGGAUGGGGGAGGGGGGGAAUGUAGUGAGAAACUGGAAGGUGAUAGGAGGAAGAUGUAAAGGGCUGAAGAAGAAGGAAUCUGAUAGGAGUGGACCA